UCCGAGUUGACCCCGGCAGUCUCCCAUGAGUCCCCGCCAUUACGCGCUGGCAACAUGGAACGAGGGUUGCGCUCGUUGCGGGACUUAACCCAACAUCUCACGACACGAGCUGACGACGACCAUGCACCACCUGUGUACCGACCUUGCGGGGCACCCAUCUCUGGGCGUUACCGGCACAUGUCAAGCCUUGGUAAGGUUCUUCGCGUUGCAUCGAAUUAAUCCGCACGCUCCGCCGCUUGUGCGGGCCCCCGUCAAUUCCUUUGAGUUUUAGCCUUGCGGCCGUACUCCCCAGGCGGGGUGCUUAAUGCGUUAGCUUCGGCACGGAGGGAGUCGACACCCCCCACACCUAGUGCCCAUCGUUUACGGCGUGGACUAC
rnacentral:misc_RNA from 1 species